GCAUAUCAAUAAGCGGAGGAAAAGAAACCAACAGGGAUUGCCCCAGUAACGGCGAGUGAAGCGGCAACAGCUCAAAUUUGAAAUCUGGCCUCACGGCCCGAGUUGUAAUUUGCAGAGGAUGCUUUUGGCGCGGCGCCUUCCGAGUGCCCUGGAACGGGACGCCAUAGAGGGUGAGAGCCCCGUCUGGUUGGAUGCCUAGCCUCUGUAAAGCUCCUUCGACGAGUCGAGUAGUUUGGGAAUGCUGCUCAAAAUGGGAGGUAUAUGUCUUCUAAAGCUAAAUAUUGGCCAGAGACCGAUAGCGCACAAGUAGAGUGAUCGAAAGAUGAAAAGCACUUUGAAAAGAGGGUUAAAUAGUACGUGAAAUUGUUGAAAGGGAAGCGCUUGUGACCAGACUUGGGCUUGGUGAAUCAUCCGGCGUUCUCGCCGGUGCACUUUGCCUGUCCAGGCCAGCAUCAGUUCGCUCCGGGGGAUAAAGGCGUGGGGAAUGUGGCUCCUCCGGGAGUGUUAUAGCCCCGCGUGUAAUACCCUGUGGCGGACUGAGGUUCGCGCUCCGCAAGGAUGCUGGCGUAAUGGUCAUCAGCGACCCGUCUUGAAACACGGACCAAGGAGUCGUCUUCGUAUGCGAGUGUUCGGGUGUCAAACCCCUACGCGUAAUGAAAGUGAACGCAGGUGAGAGCUUCGGCGCAUCAUCGACCGAUCCUGAUGUUCUCGGAUGGAUUUGAGUAAGAGCAUACGGGGCCGGACCCGAAAGAAGGGUGAACUAUGCCUGUAUAGGGUGAAGCCAGAGGAAACUCUGGUGGAGGCUCGCAGCGGGUUCUGACGUGCAAAUCGAUCGUCAAAUAUGGGCAUGGGGGCGAAAGACUAAUCGAACCUUUCUAGUAGCUGUUCGCGAG
rnacentral:rRNA from 2 species